GACGAACGCUGGCGGCGUGCUUAACACAUGCAAGUCGAACGGAAAGGCCCUGCUUUUGUGGGGUGUUCGAGUGGCGAACGGGUGAGUAACACGCGAGUAACCUGCCCUUGACUUUGGGAUAACUUCAGGAAACUGGGGCUAAUACCGGAUAGGAGCUCCUGCUGCCUGGUGGGGGUUGGAAAGUUUCGGCGGUUGGGGAUGGACUGGCGGCUUAUCAGCUUGUUGGUGGGGUAGUGGCUUUCCAAGGCUUUGACGGGUAGCCGGCCUGAGAGGGUGACCGGCCACAUUGGGACUGAGAUACGGCCCAGACUCCUACGGGAGGCAGCAGUGGGGAAUAUUGCACAAUGGGCGGAAGCCUGAUGCAGCAACGCCGCGUGCGGGAUGACGGCCUUCGGGUUGUAAACCGCUUUCGCCUGUGACGAAGCGUGAGUGACGGUAAUGGGUAAAGAAGCACCGGCUAACUACGUGCCAGCCGCCGCCAGUAACAC
rnacentral:rRNA from 1 species